rnacentral:lncRNA from 1 species
AAGCUGAAUUUUGACGUAAUUUCUCUUGAUGUAGCUAGCAGAUGACAGAGGUGUGUUUGAAAGUCAGCAGCAUUCUGACAGCGAUUAGAAUGUCCUCCGUCUGCUAGUCUUCUUGAUUCUUAAAUUCUGUGGAGCUCAAAUAGACAACAUAGCUUGUGGAACUGAUUAAGUGUUAGCAUAAAUAUCUAGCCUUUAUCAUGUUGAGACUCCUUAAUAAUUGUUACUCCCUGUUUUUAUAUUUUUGUUUUUAUAGAGCAGAAAAAAUAUUUAUUUUAUUUUUAUGCCACCACAGUGAAUGUACUUAUGGGUUUUAUGCCACUCAUCUACUCACAUGGGGCUUACAGUUUUUUCACAUUUUUAUUUUCUUUUUAAGAUAGUAUGAAUAUGAUUAACUCAGUAAACUAUUUGAAAUAAAUAAAAGGGAAAAGAUAACUACCAAGUUUACCUCUUGGCAAGGCGUUCGGUGUUUUUAAGUCCUCCGAAAGGGACUCUCCAUUUUCUUAAUCGUCCUGAGGUUCGUUGGGUGGCGUAGUCGGUACUUCCGGCAGCGCCUCCUCUUCUUGUAUAGUUAUCUUCAUUUUCCAUACCUGACUUGGUGCUUUAAUCUCCUUUGGAUAAUUCUGUUAAACUCUANNNNNNNNNNNNNNNNNNNNNNNNNNNNNNNNNNNNNNNNNNNNNNNNNNNNNNNNNNNNNNNNNNNNNNNNNNNNNNNNNNNNNNNNNNNNNNNNNNNNAACGCCAGAACCAAGGAGAAACUUAUAAAAGCGAUACUCAAGUACCUUAAAAUGUUACCUUACUUGAAGAGUGACGGUACAGUAUCACCUUGUGGAAGCUUUCCUUUCUUAGCGGUUGUGCAUCGUGUUUGUGGCACCCUCCAUGAAUCAUCUCUUUAUGAUAAAUGAGCUAUGUCUUUCUUGUGCAAAUCAUUAAACUUCAUGUGUCUCCUUUAUCCCCAAUGUAAGUUUAUAUCUCAGGACUUCCCAGGUUGAUAUUGAAAGUUUUCCUGCAGGGGUUAGUCCCACAAAAUAUACCAAUAUCUACUCAAGCAGUUUUUUUAGUUCAGUAACCAAACUAGAUUCCAUGUCUAAUUAGAUUAAGGAAGGCUAUUUAACCUAAGCACCAUGCUUAAUUUAAAUGCCAAUGGAAGUAUGUCAAGUACUUCCAAACCAACACUUGCUAGUAAAUAGACAAAGGUAGCAUGACAGCAUUUAUAGAGAUCUACUCAAGUGGAGAUGAAGUAGUGUGAUUAGUACUUAACAAAUUGAGCAUCUCUCAAAGGUAGGGACAACCAACAUAGCAACAUGGCAAAGGAUGUUUUUAUGUAAAGUACUCCCCCAAGCUUGAAUUUUGCGAAAUUCAAGUUUGGAUGAAUUUAAUUCAAUGUUGUAUGAUGGUUGGUUGGACAUACCUUGUGCUUGUCAUUCAUCCGAUCUUCUUGCUCCAAUCCUAGAAAGGUUAGUGGCAAGAAUACCCGAAGGAAUAUUUCUACAAUUAUCUCAAUAUGCUCAAUACACAAGGCAAUGUUGCAAAUAAUUAGAAGUUCAUGUUACGAUCUGAUAAGUGCUUGUUUAAGGACGCUAAGCUUAUCCUUGGGAAACCAUCAAGUUAUGUUGGUGAAGUGGUUUCCCCUCCAACACCAACCUAUAUCAAGAUCAACUCAACGAGAUCUGCAAUAUUUAUUAUAGACAUAUGCAUCGACAACCGCCCUUUUAAAGUUUUUAUAAAUAGAAAGGAAGAGGGGGUUGGAGAUCUCAAAUGUGGUAAGGAUGGAGAGACCAAUUGAUUGGGGAGAUGUUUUAUAUGAGCAAGGACUUGGUAAGGUAUUUAUGAAAUAAUUGUUGGGUAUUCUUAACAUCAUUACCAAAAGUAGACUAAGUUCUCUAAAUCUAGCAACGGUGCCAAAAAUGCCAAACCUAUCCCUCACACCACUUAAGCCAAGUUGUCAUCCCCAGCAUGAUAUAAGAGACGCGGUAUUGAAAUAUGCAAUUGCUCUUCUAAAUGAAUAAUGAAUGGGAUCUGCAAGCGCACAGAUUAAUACCGAUGCAGCAUUUUAACCGGGAAGUAUUCCAGGUAUCGUUAUUUAUAUUUUUACCACUGGGAAGGGAUUAGAAAUCAUCACUAAUGAUUACAGAAUAGAAUAUGAGAUUGAGCAUCUAUCAUUGCAUGUAUAAUUGAGAACAUUAUAUCUAACUCUUCAUACAGGGAUAAGUGUCACAUAAAAGAUAUAUGAAGUAAUAAUAGUGACAAGGAUAAUUAAUCUGAUCUAGCCACAUAAUAAAUAUGAUAAGCACCUCAAUUAGAUACUCUAGAAAGUCAUUAGCAUGGUAUUAGAACGAACUACAAGAAUAUUCCCUAAGUUAUUCUUAACUAUAUAGUCUAGCAUUAUCAUAAUUAGUGCAAGCAUACUUAGCAAUCAUUGUGAGACAAGACUACGCCCAUGCAUAGUGAUAUUAGCAAGGAAUAUGAGAAACAUAGCAAUCACUCCCCUGUAAUAAUGUUGCUCUGCCAGCCCAAUACAUGAGAGGGGGACUAUAUAAGAAUCAAUGAAGCUGUCACUAUCACGAACUACCCCACGAUCUGGCAUAUUGGGUACAAUCGCAGAUAAAUACGGUAUAAGCACCACGCCUACACAAUAUCUAUCAUUUACCCAUGGAUCCGAUGGAUAAACGCUAUACGAUCCUAAGCAUGUAUAUAGAUCCAAUCUAACUAAGCCAAGUACAUAACUAUGAUAAACUAAGAACAAUAUAAUCUUGAAUAUAAGCAAGUAGAGCAAAGUCAUAAGCAAUAUAUUGAAGUAGAACAAAGUCAUAUUCAUAAUAUUGAAGAACAAAGAUAAUUAGAAAGCAAUUAGAAGCACAAUUAGAGAAUUACCAAGAAUCCUCCUGACAGAUCCGGAAACCAAUCAAAGAUUGACUCCUUCUAGUUCUAAUCCUAUGUAGCUAUGCUAAUCUAGAUGUCUAAUUGAUGUGGUGGCUCUAAUCUUGAUCAGAGGCUUCUUCUCCCUUGAUGGAACAAUGAAUUAGGGUUGAGAGGCUCCCUCCUCCAGGGGCCAGGGGGUCUGGUUUUAUAGUCCCUCCAAGUGAAUAUGGGUCAUUGGAUCAAACCGACAUAGAUUGUAUGGUUUAGAUUCAUCCUUUAGGUCGGUGGAGAUCUCCCGCAAAGCAGAGUCCUGAUUGGACUUGGGGGCAGGGCGGGCGCCCAGUAGGACAGGGCGGGCGCCCUGUCUCUAGCCCCGUUUCGCCUCUGCUUCGGUCUCGUGGCUUCUGGAGUCUUCUAGAUAUAAGAUAAUUGCGCAGCACGUUAAUAUCUUUACGUAAUCCCGACAUGUGGGACUUUCUUCCAUAUUUCCUGAUAACCCCCUGCAGAAAUAGACAAAUACCAAAACUCGUGGAAUUCUGUCAGAUAAAACCCUAAGUCUGGAUGUUGAUUUCAUUUGGAUCCUUUUCUUUAUUUAUUUGAUAAUUAAAUUUGAUACUUAAGGACCGUCAACAAACUCCCCCAAGCUUACCUCUUGCUCGUCCCUGAGCAAGGAUAGACUCAGCUAUGGAUCAUAAGUUGUUGCAAUAUUUAAAAAUUGACGGUACACAUGCUUUUUAAAUAAGAUCUCGUCUCUGAGUUAGAGUAAACUGUCAAGACUUAAAACUUACUUACUUUACCUUCACCAUGGGACUUGUAACCGUCACUUCUGUCUUGAGUAGUUAAAAGAUAGAACAGUCUAGCCAAGUGCCGUGUCUCUUAUUCUUGAUCAGCUAUAGCUCUAGAGUUUUUGUAGAUUUUCAAAUAAAACUCAAAGAUUCCUUGUAUGAUUCUCUCAGAUCUCUCUUUCGUGGUAUUUCUGGAUCCUUACCAAGGCAGUGAUGGUAUAUGCCUUCUCUCAAUAUAUGUAGUAUUUGUGGUAUGAGGCAUAGUGACAUUGCCUUCUCUCUCACCCUACUCUAAUAAGGCUUUAAUAUCUGGAGCUCAUAGGUGGGAGAUAAAGUAUACAUACUUACAAGACAUUUAUUGCAUAGUCAAACCAUGGAUCCAAAGAAACAUAUCAAUAAGCCAAAUCAAGAUGUGCAUGUGUGGCGAAUGAAUGGUGUAUGGUGAUAACGGUGAUAACAAUGGUGGAAACAAUGGUGGUGGAAGUCUAAUUCUACUUUCCUCUUUGAGGGGAUACAUACCUUCCUUGCUUUUGAAACUUUAUGAGGAGAAUGAGAUGCUCAUCUUUUUCUUUUCUUUCGAGGUUCCGAGCACUUGCUCCUUUUUAUUUCCUCGUAUCUUUUUUCUUUUUCUCUCUUUUUUCUUUUUUUUAAAGCAUUCAUCUCUUGAGAUAAUAUAGCAAGUGGUAGUAACAAGAUAACUUGAGCAUUUAUUUCACAAGGGGAAAACAGAAAUAUUUUUGGUUAUUCUCUCCCGGAUUAGGAGUAGAAUAUUUUUGGUUGGUUCUGGAGAUGGAAUGGGUGGAUAUAUGUGGAUGGUACUUCCGGAGUAGAAGUAGCAUAUAUGAGUGAACGUACAAGUCAAUCUUGAUUUAACCACAUGACAAGUUCCUAAGGGUCUACACAGCUUGACCACACUCAAUGCUCAUAAGCAGUAAAUAAUAAAUGUGUGGCUCAAAGUCUAGCAAGCAUGUAUAUAUGGCUGUGGUAGGAAUUUAAACUCUCAUCAUAUAGGAACUUAUCAUGCAACAUUUUAAAGAUUUUCAAAGAUAAAAUUCUCCAGAAUUCUAGCAUCUCUAGGAAUAGAUAAACAGCAGCUCAACCUUCCCAUAUCAUAUCCGUUAACAACUUAGACUUCAGAUCAAGUUUUCAUCCCACAAGUUUAGGUCUAGAGCAAGCUUUAAAUUAUAACAGUUAUAUCUAAACUUGAGAGAGAACUUAAAAUUUGCAAAUUAGGCAGAGCAACUAUUUAUCAUAUCCAUGCUUAAGUUUUAUUUAGAUACAGAUUAGCAUAGCCACUUUAUUUAUUAAACACACUAAGCAAAAGAUAUAUAAGCAUAAAAUCUUUAUUUGGUUUUCCAUAGUUUAUGUGUAUUUAUAUUCUAAAAUAAUAUAAGUAUAAAGAUAGAUAGAAAUACUUAUCGAGAUAAAUGGGGGUGCUCUCCCCCAAGCUGAAUUUUGACGUAAUUUCUCUUGAUGUAGCUAGCAGAUGACAGAGGUGUGUUUGAAAGUCAGCAGCAUUCUGACAGCGAUUAGAAUGUCCUCCGUCUGCUAGUCUUCUUGAUUCUUAAAUUCUGUGGAGCUCAAAUAGACAACAUAGCUUGUGGAACUGAUUAAGUGUUAGCAUAAAUAUCUAGCCUUUAUCAUGUUGAGACUCCUUAAUAAUUGUUACUCCCUGUUUUUAUAUUUUUGUUUUUAUAGAGCAGAAAAAAUAUUUAUUUUAUUUUUAUGCCACCACAGUGAAUGUACUUAUGGGUUUUAUGCCACUCAUCUACUCACAUGGGGCUUACAGUUUUUUCACAUUUUUAUUUUCUUUUUAAGAUAGUAUGAAUAUGAUUAACUCAGUAAACUAUUUGAAAUAAAUAAAAGGGAAAAGAUAACUACCAAGUUUACCUCUUGGCAAGGCGUUCGGUGUUUUUAAGUCCUCCGAAAGGGACUCUCCAUUUUCUUAAUCGUCCUGAGGUUCGUUGGGUGGCGUAGUCGGUACUUCCGGCAGCGCCUCCUCUUCUUGUAUAGUUAUCUUCAUUUUCCAUACCUGACUUGGUGCUUUAAUCUCCUUUGGAUAAUUCUGUUUAAACUCUACGUCUUCUGACCUUAUAACUUCUCCUUCAUAGUCUGCCCAUCCGUCCUUGAUGAUCUGCCUCCUCUGGAUGCGUCGCUUUCUUACCUGCUUAGAUUCUUCAACGAUAUAGUUAGGGUUAGUAAAAUAACGGCGUACCUUCUCUAAGGGGAAGUGCAUAUGGACUUCUCCGGUUCCAAUGUAGAUAAUUGCUUUAACGGUGCUGAGGAACGGUCUUCCAAGGAUGAUGGGUGGAUCAUACUCAUCUUCUCCCUUGUCAAUAACUUGAAAGUCUGUGUAGACAAAGUGAUCGUCUAUUUUGACCGGGACAUCAGAUACUAUUCCUUUAACUUCUCGAAAUGUCUGAUCUGCCAUCUGGAGCUGAAUGUAUGUUGGUCUUAGGGGCAUGGUUCCGAAUAAGAGCCGAUAGGUGACUGCGGCCAUUAUGUUGACGCCCGAUCCGGUGUCGCAAAUCGUCUUGUAGAAGUUGUAUCCAUUUAUGGAGCAGUAGAUGCUUGGCAUUCCUGGGUCGUCCUUCUUGGUCAAAAGUGGUGACUUAAGUUGGUGAUCUUGGCCUCCAUGAACUACAGUGACCAUCUUAGCUGACUCGGUCCACACUUGCUUGUUCCUGUUUCUCCUAUUGGUCCUCUUCCUUGAUUUACGUCUGGAUUGAUCUUGAAUUUGUGUAGUCUUGUUCUUGAAGAAAAAUGUCUCCUUCUUCCCUUUGACGUAGAAACUGAUCUUGGCAGCACUGGCGUUGAUGAUAACUCCCGUGGUGUUCAAGAAUGGCCUCCCUAGGAUGAUAGGUGCUCUCUCAUCAUUCCCGGUCUCUACCACUACGAAGUCUGCUGGGGCAUACAAGGUACCAACUCGGACACAAAGGUUCUUCACUAUUCCUUUUGGAAAACUUAUCGUCUGAUCUGCAAACUGCAAACACAUGGUUGUUUCUAAUAAAGGAUACGUAAAGAAUUUCUCAUAGAGUACCCUGGGUAUAAUGUUGACACUGGAGCCAAAGUCACAGAGUGCUUCUGGAACGUCCACCAUGCCGAUG